GAGGGUAUAGCUCAGUGGUAGACUGCCUACCUGGUAUGCAUGAGGUCCUGGGUUCAAUUCCCAGUACCUCCA
rfam:Camelus ferus unplaced genomic scaffold scaffold395, whole genome shotgun sequence.